rnacentral:rRNA from 1 species
UACGGAGGGUGCAAGCGUUAUCCGGAUUCACUGGGUUUAAAGGGUGCGUAGGUGGGCAGGUAAGUCAGUGGUGAAAUCUCCAAGCUUAACUUGGAAACUGCCGUUGAUACUAUAAAUCUUGAAUGUUGUGGAGGUGAGCGGAAUAUGUCAUGUAGCGGUGAAAUGCUUAGAUAUGACAUAGAACACCAAUUGCGAAGGCAGCUCACUACACAAAGAUUGACACUGAGGCACGAAAGCGUGGGAUCAAACAG